UUGUGUUCUAGAUUAAUGCAUACAACAUCACAAAAGAUGUUUCUGCUCUGUAUUUUUAGUCUUUUAUCACUCCAUGGAGUCAAGUCAGAUAUUGAACUUACUCAGCCCAGUUCAGAAAUUAGAAAGCCGGGUGACAGCGUGAAGAUGCCCUGUAAAACAUCUGGAUACACCUUUACUAGCUAUUACGUGAACUGGAUUCAACAAGUUCCUGGAAAAGGACUACAGUGGGUGGGAAAAAUUAAUCCUGGCAAUGGGGUCACCAACUAUUUGUCAUCAUUUCAAGGAAGAUUCACAAUCACAACAGAUAAUUCUAUUGCAACAUCAUAUCUGCAGAUAAACAGUUUGAAGUUAGAAGAUACAGCCAGCUAUUACUGUGCAAGAGACACAGUGAUAUACAUGAAGAGUUCUCCGUACAAAAACACUGCUUAUGUCUUCUUACCAGCGGGAAGCAGCAUUUGA